UGGGGAAUAUUGGGCAAUGGGCGCAAGCCUGACCCAGCAACGCCGCGUGAAGGAAGAAGGCUUUCGGGUUGUAAACUUCUUUUCUGGAGGACGAACAAAUGACGGUACUCCAGGAAUAAGCCACGGCUAACUACGUGCCAGCAGCCGCGGUAAUACGUAGGUGGCAAGCGUUAUCCGGAUUUAUUGGGUGUAAAGGGCGUGUAGGCGGGAGUGCAAGUCAGAUGUGAAAAACUCAGGGCUCAACCCUGAGCCUGCAUUUGAAACUGUACUUCUUGAGUGCUGGAGAGGCAAUCGGAAUUCCGUGUGUAGCGGUGAAAUGCGUAGAUAUACGGAGGAACACCAGUGGCGAAGGCGGAUUGCUGGACAGUAACUGACGCUGAGGCGCGAAAGCGUGGGGAGCAAACAGGAUUAGAUACCC
rnacentral:rRNA from 1 species